GGUUCGGCGACGAGUGAUCGCAGUGUGAAGGGUGGAAGGGAGUGACGGGGACGGGAGUGGAGCCUUAUCGACGACAAACCCCAGGGGCGCGCCGGCUGAUGCUUCGGGAUGGAUUCCGAAGCUUCGGAUCUUUUUGCUUCGUAUUGCGUGUUGAAUGAGUGGAGGUUAACUUCCUAUUAGACAUGAGUUAUUAUAUCCGUUUCAUUUCACGUAUUGGUACGUGCGGUCGCUUGGGAUUUCUCCAGCGAGUAAAAUGUAAAGUGAGUAAAAAGAGUAGGUUAGAGUAAGGCCAAGAGUAAAGUAAAGUA